UAAGCAAGAAGAAAGUACUCAAAAAACAUUGCUUUGAGUAGAGACCAUGAAACACAAGGAGGAAGAUAAAGCUGAAAAGGUGUAAGAGAACUAGGGAGGGAGAAUUGAAAGGAGGAAAAAGUGUGAACGAAGGUUGGAGUUGUCCUUGACAUCAUUGAUAUUGGAGCAUAAGAGAGAUACAUAUGGAUACAAAAGGUAAGAAACCAGUAGCUCA